rfam:Arthrobacter crystallopoietes BAB-32 contig21, whole genome shotgun sequence.
GGACCAUCCCGAGCGGCCGAGAGAUCUGGCUCUUUGACGCCGCAGCAACCCUCCGGACUCCACCGGAAAGGUGCUACCGCCAGAAGCGAUGGAGA